rnacentral:rRNA from 1 species
CCUACGGGGGGCUGCAGUAGGGAAUAUUAGUAAUGGGCGAAAGCCUGAACUAGCAACGCCGCGUGUGCGAAGAAGGCCUUCGGGUUGUAAAGCACUUUUUGAGAGGAUGAGGAAGGACGGUACUCUCAGAAUAAGUCUCGGCUAACUACGUGCCAGCAGCCGCGGUAACACGUAGGAGGCGAACGUUAUCCGGAUUUACUGGGCGUAAAGCGCGUGUAGGUGGUUUGGUAAGUAGGGCGUGAAAGCUCCUGGCUCAACUGGGAGAGGCCGUUCUAAACUGCCGAACUAGAGGAUGGUAGAGGGAGGUGGAAUUCCGGGUGUAGCGGUGGAAUGCGCAGAUAUCCGGAGGAACACCAGUGGCGAAAGCGGCCUCCUGGACCACUCCUGACACUCAGACGCGAAAGCUAGGGUAGCAAACGGGCUUAGAUACCCCGGUAGUC